rnacentral:lncRNA from 1 species
AACAAUCUGUAUUUGUUAGUCUAGCCCAGCAGUGACAGGGAAAUGUCCAUCAUGAGUAGAAAAGUUCCAGAUAUGUUUCAUUUGAUGAAUCCAUAGUUAUUGCCCACUUGUUUCACCCUGCUGUGCUUCAAAAUGAGAGUCACUGAAAUUAUGUAACAAAACAGCUUAAUCAGAAUUUUAAAGAAAAAAAGUGGAAUAGUUUAAAGCUUGUAAAGUAUACGAGGCUGGGUUCCUGGGAGCAGGCACCAUCUCUUAACCUAUUUUAGAAGAGCUUGCUUUGAUGUUCCUCUCUAUGCUGUAUUGCGUGAAAUUUAAGUGAAACACUACCAUUACUUUACAAAAGAAGAAACUAAUACAUCAUAUCUGAAGAUAAAGAAAGCUGGCAUUAACAGAGUAAUUAUGAACAGGUAUGUUAGACAAAAUUAUUGACUUGUUUAUGG